rnacentral:rRNA from 1 species
UGAUGGGUAGCUGGACUGAGAGGUUGAACAGCCGCAAUGGGAUUGAGAAAUGGCCCAUAUUCCUACGGGAAGCAGCAGUGAGGAAUUUUUCACAAUGGACGAAAGUCUGAUGGAGCAAUACCACGUGAACGAUGAAGGUCUUCUGAUUGUAAAGUUCUUUUAUUUAGGAAAAAAAGCGCGGCAGGAAAUGGCCGCGCCUUGAUUGUACUAAUUGAAUAAGUGACAGCUAACUAUGUGCCAGCAGCUGCGGUAAAACAUAGGUCACGAGCAUUAUCCGGAUUUAUUGGGCGUAAAGGAAGCGUAGGCUGAAAUGUGUAUUCAUUGUUAAAAAUAUUUGCUUAACAAGUGUUCGCGGUGAAGAUUACAUUUCUAGAAUUAGUUAGAGGGUACUGGAAUUCAAUGUGUAGUGGUGGAAUACGUAGAUAUAUUGAGGAACACCAGAGGCUAAGGCGAGUGCCUGGAACAUAAUUGACGCUGAGGCUUGAAAGCGUGGGUAGCAAAUGGGAUUAGAUACCCCAGUAGUCCACGCCGUAAACGAUGG